rnacentral:rRNA from 1 species
UACGUAGGGGGCGAGCGUUGUCCGGAUUUAUUGGGCGUAAAGAGCUCGUAGGCGGCUGUUCGAGUCGGGUGUGAAAUCCUGAGGCUUAACCUUGGGUCUGCAUUCGAUACUGGGCGGCUUGAGUCUGGUAGGGGGAUCUGGAAUUCCUGGUGUAGCGGUGGAAUGCGCAGAUAUCAGGAGGAACACCGGUGGCGAAGGCGAGUCCCUGGACAACACCUGACACUGAGGCACGAAAGCUAGGGGAGCAAACAGG